GCAAGUCGAGGGGUACCAGAGAGAGCUUGCUUUCUGCUGACGAUAGGCGCACGGGUGAGUAACGCGUAUGCAAUCUGCCUUACACUGGAGAAUAGUCCUGAGAAAUUUGGAUUAAUGCUCCAUAGUAUGUUUAAAUCGCAUGGUUUAAACAUUAAAGGUUACGGUGUAAGAUGAGCAUGCGUCCUAUUAGCUAGAUGGUGGGGUAACGGCAUACCAUGGCAACGAUAGGUAGGGGCCCUGAGAGGGGGAUC
rnacentral:rRNA from 1 species